GAUGAACGCUGGCGGCGUGCCUAACACAUGCAAGUCGAACGGAAAGGCCCUGCGUUUGUGGGGUGCUCGAGUGCCGAACGGGUGAGUAACACGUGAGUAACCUGCCCUUGACUUUGGGAUAACAUCAGGAAACUGGGGCUAAUAUCGGAUAGGAUCUCCUGCUGCAUGGUGGGGGUUGGAAAGUUUCGGCGGUUGGGGAUGGACUCGCGGCUUAUCAGCUUGUUGGUGGGGUAGUGGCUUACCAAGGCUUUGACGGGUAGCCGGCCUGGGAGGGUGAACGGCCACAAUGGGACUGAGGGACGGACCAGACUCGAACGGGAGGCAGCGGGGGGGAGUAUGACACAGUGAGCGGGAGCGUGAGGCGGCGGCGCCGGGUGCGGGAUGACGGCCUUCGGGUUGUAAACCGCUGUCGCCUGAGACGAAGCGGGAGUGACGGUAAUGGGUAAAGAAGCACCGGCUAACUACGUG
rnacentral:rRNA from 1 species